AUAAGGGAUAAUAAAAUAAUCCGAUUGGUUUUCGUUUGAAUUACUUACUGUAUAUUAUUAUGUGUAAUGCGAUCAAAAUUAUAUUAUGCAUAACAUCGUUUACUAUCAAUCCCGAAUUAAGGGAGGGGAGCACUUUCUUUGGGCCCUUCAGAUGUAAAGAACCCAUUGUUCCCUCGUUUGUAUAUAUAGGUAUGUAUGCAUAUAAUAUAUUUAGUCUCGUGGAUGGAUAGUCUUGCGUCCAUUUUGUAUAGUUUUUAAUAAAAGUGAAUUAAAUUAUGAAAAUUGCAAAAUGCCACAAUAGCAAAUUGCUAAAUUAUUGAACGGCCUAUCCCCGUUGCAAGCGUUCUCAUUGACUUAAGUCAUGUAAUUAUAUGUCUAUAGACUUUAAUCUUUUUUCCCAAACAAAAAGUACAUCAUAGUGACAUAAGAUAUUUUAAUUUGCAAUAUAACAUGUGAAUACGCAUACACUUAAUAUGUAAUUUAAACCAAAAAAUAAAGGGGAAAAAAUGAUAUUAAGAGAUAAGACACAAUUAUUAUAAAAAUAAAAAAACGCUAACAAUUGACUUGAGGUUUUCUUCUCUGGGAUUAAGCCUUCCCUGUUUUUUUGUAGUCAAAAAAUGUAUGAAAACUAUUACUUUGACCCCGGGGCCUGGAUUCUUAAAAAUAAAUAUAGCCUGAAAUACCAUUUAAAAUAAUAUAAUAUAGAUACCUAUAAAAUAAUAUCUUAUUAUAGUUAUACCUACUGAAAAUCAAAAUCAAAAUUCGACGCCUAUAAAUAUAUUAAUAUUUGUAAAAAAAAAAUGUUAAUUACUUAUAUUUACAAAAUGUAUAAUAAUACGUUACUGUCGCAAAUAGGAGGGGAGUUUUGGGGCUUAUCCCCCCUCCCAAAACUCAGCCGAGUCCUCCAAAUCAAGUUAUUAUCUAGUAAAUAUUAAGAAUAUUUAUUAUGUAUGUAUAAUCAAUAGUAUGGGGGUUUAAGCCCACCGAAAUAUGUGUGCUUUUGCGGGUAUUAUUGUACGCGUAGGUACUUACUAAUACAUAUAAUUUCUAUAAUAUAUCAUUCA